UUCCAGACUCCUACGGGAGGCAGCAGUGAGGAAUAUUGGUCAAUGGCCGGAAGGCUGAACCAGCCAAGUCGCGUGAGGGAAUAAGGCCCUAUGGGUCGUAAACCUCUUUUGUCAGGGAGCAAAGGCGUCCACGUGUGGACGAGAGGAGAGUACCUGAAGAAAAAGCAUCGGCUAACUCCGUGCCAGCAGCCGCGGUAAUACGGAGGAUGCGAGCGUUAUCCGGAUUUAUUGGGUUUAAAGGGAGCGUAGGUGGAUUGUUAAGUCAGUUGUGAAAGUUUGCGGCUCAACCGUAAAAUUGCAGUUGAAACUGGCAGUCUUGAGUACAGUAGAGGUGGGCGGAAUUCGUGGUGUAGCGGUGAAAUGCUUAGAUAUCACGAAGAACUCCGAUUGCGAAGGCAGCUCACUGGACUGCAACUGACACUGAGGCUCGAAAGUGUGGGUAUCAAACAGGAUUAGAUACCCGCGUA
rnacentral:rRNA from 1 species